GUUUAGCCAUGAUCGCAGCAUUUGUCUGAGCUCAUUUUGUUUGAUUUUGGUUUCGGCGGCUUUGCCGCCGAAACCAAAAUCAAACAAAAUAGCGAGUGCGGAGAGCAGGAAACAGC
rnacentral:misc_RNA from 1 species